rnacentral:rRNA from 1 species
GAUGAACGCUGACAGAAUGCUUAACACAUGCAAGUCAACUGUGGCGGACGGGUGAGUAACGCGUAAAGAACUUGCCUCACAGAUAGGGCCAACAUUUGGAAACGAAUGCUAAUACCUGAUACUGUGAGAGAGCUUUGCGUCCCAUUAGCUAGUUGGCGAGGUCACAGCUCACCAAGGCGCUGAUGGGUAGCCGGCCUGAGAGGGUGAUCGGCCACAAGGGGACUGAGGAACAGCCAUUACUCCAACGGGAGGCAGCAGUGGGGAAUAAUGGACAAUGGACCAAAGUUUGAUCCAGCAAUUCUGUGUGCACGAUGAAGUUUUCGGAAUGUAAAGUGCUUUCAGUUGGGAAGCAGUACCAACAGAAGAAGUGACGGCUAAAUACGUGCCAGCAGCCGCGGUAAUAC